rnacentral:rRNA from 1 species
CCUACGGGGUGCAGCAGUGGGGGAUAUUGCACAAUGGGGGGAACCCUGAUGCAGCGACGCCGCGUGGGUGAAGAAGCGCCUCGGCGCGUAAAGCCCUGUCAGCAGGGAAGAAAAUGACGGUACCUGAAGAAGAAGCCCCGGCUAACUACGUGCCAGCAGCCGCGGUAAUACGUAGGGGGCAAGCGUUAUCCGGAUUUACUGGGUGUAAAGGGGGCGCAGACGGCGAUGCAAGCCAGGAGUGAAAGCCCGGGGCCCAACCCCGGGACUGCUCUUGGAACUGCGUGGCUGGAGUGCAGGAGGGGCAGGCGGAAUUCCUGGUGUAGCGAUGAAAUGCGUAGAUAGCAGGAGGAACACCGGUGGCGAAGGCGGCUUACUGGACCAUAACUGACGUUGAGGCUCGAAAGCGUGGGGAGCGAACAGGAUUAGAUACCCUAGUAGUC